rnacentral:rRNA from 1 species
GAUGAAGAACGCAGCAAAAUGCGAUAAGUAAUGUGAAUUGCAGAAUUCAGUGAAUCAUCGAAUCUUUGAACGCAUCUUGUGCUCCUUGGUAAUCUGAGGAGCAUGCCUGUUUGAGUGUCAUUA